AACGAACGCUGGCGGCAUGCCUAACACAUGCAAGUCGAACGAGACCUUCGGGUCUAGUGGCGCACGGGUGCGUAACACGUGGGAAUCUGCCCUUUGCUUCGGAAUAACAGUUAGAAAUGACUGCUAAUACCGGAUGAUGUCGAAAGACCAAAGAUUUAUCGGCAAAGGAUGAGCCCGCGUAGGAUUAGGUAGUUGGUGGGGUAAAGGCCUACCAAGCCGACGAUCCUUAGCUGGUCUGAGAGGAUGAUCAGCCACACUGGGACUGAGACACGGCCCAGACUCCUACGGGAGGCAGCAGUGGGGAAUAUUGGACAAUGGGCGAAAGCCUGAUCCAGCAAUGCCGCGUGAGUGAUGAAGGCCUUAGGGUUGUAAAGCUCUUUUACCAGGGAUGAUAAUGACAGUACCCGGAGAAUAAGCUCCGGCUAACUCCGUG
rnacentral:rRNA from 1 species